rnacentral:rRNA from 1 species
CCUACGGGCGGCAGCAGUGAGGAAUAUUGGUCAAUGGGCGCGAGCCUGAACCAGCCAAGUAGCGUGAAUGAUGACUGCCCUACGGGUUGUAAGCUUCUUUUAUAAAGGAAUAAAGUGUGACGCGUGUGCCUUUUUGUAUGUACUUUAUGAAUAAGGAUCGGCUAACGCCGUGCCAGCAGCCGCGGUAAUACGGAGGAUCCGAUCGUUAUCCGGAUUUAUUGGGUUUAAAGGGAGCGUAGAUGGGUUGUUAAGUCAGUUGUGAAAGUUUGGGGCUCAACCGUAAAAUUGCAAUUGAUACUGGCAGGCUUGAGUACAGUUGAGGUAGGCGGAAUUCGUGGUGUAGCGGUGAAAUGCUUAGAUAUCACGAAGAACUCCGAUUGCGAAGGCAGCUUACUAAACUGCAACUGACAUUGAUGCUCGAAAGUGUGGGUAUCAAACAGGAUUAGAUACCCCUGUAGUC